AAAGGGCUUCGGCCCCGGUAAAGCGGCGCACGGGUGAGUAACACGUAGGUAAUCUGCCCUCGGGUGGUGGAUAACACUCCGAAAGGGGUGCUAAUACAGCAUGACACCGAAAGGUCAAAGCGGGCCUAUCUAUAGAAGCCCGCGCCUGGGGAUGAGCCUGCGGCGCAUCAGCUAGUUGGUGGGGUAAUGGCCUACCAAGGCGAAGACGCGUAGCUGGUCUGAGAGGAUGAACAGCCACACUGGAACUGAGACACGGUCCAGACUCCUACGGGAGGCAGCAGUAGGGAAUCUUGCGCAAUGGGCGAAAGCCUGACGCAGCGACGCCGCGUGAGCGAUGAAGGCCUUCGGGUUGUAAAGCUCUGUGGGGAGAGAAGAAUAAGGACCGGCAAAUACCCGGUUCGAUGACGGUAUCUCCUUAGCAAGCACCGGCUAACUCUGUGCCAGCAGCCGCGGUAAUACAGAGGGUGCAAACGUUGUUCGGAAUUACUGGGCGUAAAGCGCGUGUAGGCGGCUUGGCAGGUCGGAUGUGAAAUCCCAGGGCUCAACCCUGGAAGUGCAUUCGAAACCGCCUGGCUAGAGUUCUGGAGAGGAAGGUGGAAUGCUUGGUGUAGAGGUGAAAUUCGUAGAUAUCAAGCGGAACACCGGUGGCGAAGGCGGCCUUCUGGACAGAUACUGACGCUGAGACGCGAAAGCGUGGGGAGCAAACAGGAUUAGAUACCCUGGUAGUCCACGCUGUAAACGAUGAGUGCUAGAUGUCAGGAGCUUUGACCCUCUUGGUGUCGCAGCUAACGCGAUAAGCACUCCGCCUGGGGAGUACGGCCGCAAGGCU
rnacentral:rRNA from 1 species